rnacentral:lncRNA from 1 species
UAGAAUCAACGAUAACAUUCCAGUAAGUUCCAUUAAUUCCGACGCGUCUUGCACUGAGCGAUAACAUUAAAUUGUUAGCGGGUGAAAUGCAGUUCCUGAGAACAA